rnacentral:siRNA from 1 species
CCACUGUCCCUGUCUACUAUCC